rnacentral:rRNA from 1 species
ACACGGCCCAGACUCCUACGGGAGGCAGCAGUGGGGAAUAUUGGACAAUGGGGGCAACCCUGAUCCAGCGACGCCGCGUGGAGGACGAGGGUCUUCGGAUUGUAAACUCCUUUUGGAGGGGAUGAAUGCCUGCGUGAAAAACGCAGGGUGACAGUACUCUCUGAAUAAGCCACGGCUAACUACGUGCCAGCAGCCGCGGUAAUACGUAGGUGGCAAGCGAUACUCGGAAUCACUAGGCGUAAAGCGCAGGUAGGCGGUUCGGUAAGUCUUUUGUGAAAGCUCCCGGCUCAACUGGGAGAGGUCAAAGGAAACUGCCGGGCUAGAGUGUGGUAGGGGAUACUGGAAUUCCUGGUGUAGCGGUGAAAUGCGUAGAUAUCAGGAGGAAUACCUAUGGCGAAAGCAGGUAUCUGGGCCAUCACUGACGCUGAGCUGCGAAAGCUAGGGGAGCAAACAGGAUUAGAUACCCUGGUAGUCCACGCCGUAAACGAUGAGUGCUAGACGUCGGGGAGCUUGCUCUUCGGUGUCGCCGCUAACGCAUUAAGCACUCCGCCUGGGGAGUACGGUCGCAAGAUUAAA